UCCGCCCUCUCUCCCUCUCUACUCUCUCCCUCCCCACCGCCGCCUCCCCUCCCGUUCACCCUCUCUGCUUGCCUUCGUCGCCCCUCCCCGCCGGCGCUCCUCCUGCUCUACGCCACCGCCGCUGGCUCCCGCAGGAUCCAGAUCUGGCACGGCGCAGGGCUCGGAGGGAGAGGAUGCGAUCUUGGCGGAUUCGCGACGGCCUAGCGGACCGGGAGACGCGCGGCGCCACCGCGCGGCCACUCGACGCGGCUGAUUCCUGCUUCGAUGCGCGGGCGGCGCUUGAGCGCGAGCUUUGCGUGGAGGGGCCAUAGAGGAGCCCCCCUCUUCCUAGGCCAGAGGCGCGGUGGCGGCGCAGCAGCCGGGGGCCUCUGGGAGCACGGGCUGCGGCUCGGAGUCGCUGUGGCUGCACCUCGGGAGGACCAGGCGCCGGGCGGGAUCCGGCACACCGGCGCCCUCGUGGAAGAUGGAGGAUGAGGGAGCCCCGGAGGAGGCUGGCGCCCCGUUUGCCACGGAUCUCGGCGUCAGCCUCGGCCUCGGCGCGGCAGCUGGGCGCCAGCCUCUGGAAGAUCCAUGACGUCGCGCGGGAGCGCCGGGCCAGGCCGCGGGGCGGGAGUGGCAUCGCUGCCGGUCGGGAGCACGGCGGCCGCAUGGAAUUCAACCAGGUGGAAAGCAGUGUGGACCUUCUGUUGGUGUGAUGCUACUACAACUUUGUUCCACCCUUCGCUUCAGAAAAAUAAUUGCAUGCUGGAAUUUAAAGCUAGCAAAUUGGGAAGGACUGAGUGUGUCCUACUGAUGUAUGUACUAGGUGCAGGCAAAAUCAAGGUCAGGGCCAGCGGCGAAAUUAAUAAAUCCUUAGGUGAAACACUAUUUGGAUUUCAAGUCUCAUCCUGCCAUGUAAAUGAGCUGAACCCCCUGACCAUAUUCUUGGCUGGUUCUGUCCCUAGGUAAAAUAACUGCAUUUAUUUGUCAAAUGAAACAAAGCGAUUGGAUAGUGUUAUGGAAGUUUAAAGGGACUUUUAAUCAAGCUGAUGCUUGUGUCUUGAGUUAUCCUGUCCCUUACUUUAUUUGCAAGCAGAUGUGCCUGUGAUUUGUUGCGUGUUUAUUUUAAUUGUAGUUCGGAAUAGUCCAGUUCGAGUGUGUAUUGGUCAAUGUUAUCCUAAACGAUAAACGGUAAACAGUUGGUCACCUACUGUUUAGCCCAUUAUUUGGGCAAAACGGGUGUUUAAACGGGAAAAACGGCCGUUUAAACGGUGAAAACAACCGAUUAAACGAAAACGGUGUGCCACUGUGUAGCGUUUAAACGGUGUUUAAACGGGCUAAACGACCGUUUAGGCAAACAAUUGUAUUGGUGGACUACAGUUUCACUUUGUCUUAACCUGGCGAUUAGCGCAGACAUUUCUUUCAGUGGCAUUUAAAGUCUGAAAGAUGAAAUUUGUGUUGUACCCUACCGCUCUUCCUUGAUCUUCCAAUCUUCUUGGGUUUGGGCUGGUAUCUAUGAUUUUAGAAUUAGUACUCAUGUUAGCCAUGGGGGGAAAUUAUAGCUGUGCGGCAACAGGGACAGUAUGGGGCAUGCCUUUUAAAUCUAGGAUAAUUGGAUAACUGCAAUUUGCAUGGGACAUCCCUUUUUUUAUCUGAUCUUGAUAUCAUGUAUGAACCUUACCAUGAUCUGCUUGUCCUCUAUGACUGUUGUACUAAUUCCACUUCUCAUCCUAUGCCUAGAGAUGUGUGACCGGUUGAUUAUGCUUGGAAACUCAGUGAGGGCUUAUGUGUGACAGGUUCAGGGACCUCUAUGAUCCACAUGAUAAAUCAAAAUUACUGCACAGUGACCUGGUGUUGAUUGAUGAAGAGUUCAAGGAUGCAUGAGCAGUGAAGCUCAUGUUGAUUUUGUCUCUACCAGUUGUGGCCGGCUUUUGUGUAGCCUUCGUCUCCAGCAACAAAAGUCUGAUGCAUGGGACUGUGUAGCUAUGACCUCCGCCUGCAAACUGUGUAGCAUGGUGAUUAGCUUUUGGUUUCAGUUAGUAUUCAAAGCUAGGUUAUUUGGUAGCUAUGCAUACUUGUUGCGUGUGGAUUUAUGGUGCUCGAAUGUACUGUUAUGUUGAUGAUUGAGAUGUUGGGCAGAUACCUGAUUCAACUGCUGAACAGACACCUGAUAGAUAUGAUAGUGAUGUGUUGUAAUAUUUAUGAUUCAAAUACCAGAUAGACACCUAUGUUAACGUGUUGAUGAUGUGCUUGUUACCGGA